AGAAUCAACGCUGGCGGCGUGCCUAACACAUGCAAGUCGCACGAGAAAGGGGAGCAAUUCCUGAGUAAAGUGGCGCACGGGUGAGUAACACGUGAAUAAUCUACCUCCGAGUGGGGAAUAACUGAGAGAAAUCUUAGCUAAUACCGCAUAACACUUACGAGUCAAAGCAGCAAUGCGCUUGGAGAGGAGUUCGCGGCCGAUUAGUUAGUUGGCGGGGUAAUGGCCCACCAAGACGAUGAUCGGUAUCCGGCCUGAGAGGGCGCACGGACACACUGGAACUGAAACACGGUCCAGACUCCUACGGGAGGCAGCAGUGGGGAAUUUUGCGCAAUGGGGGAAACCCUGACGCAGCAACGCCGCGUGGAGGAUGAAGCCCCUUGGGGUGUAAACUCCUUUCGAUCGGGAAGAUAAUGACGGUACCGAUAUAAGAAGCCCGGCUAACUUCGUGCCAGCAGCCGC
rnacentral:rRNA from 1 species